UUCUAUAACCAAAAUUAUACUAUAGUCGAUUAAUCUUCCACUAUCAUUUUUUGGCCCUUUUUUUCACUCUUUUUGCUCUUUAUAAAAGCAAAAGACAAAUUUUGGAUUCAUUAAAUGAGCUAUUUGCAAUGAUUUUCUUGAGAUCUCAAUAAUUCAACCAUAUAGGUCUCUAGUUUCUGCAGAUUAUGUUUGUGCCUAAAGGACAACCUCAGUAUAAAUUUUGGAGAUGGGCAUUUUAUAAAUCUCUUUCAUGGGGUUCAGUUAAUGUGAUCGUAAUUGCACAAAGGUCUAUGACACUGGCCUUUUGAACGAAGUCUAUGGAUGGCACGUCACAAUAGUUGAGCCAAGGAAUGAGUGAAAAAGAACUAGUUGAGAAAUCAUCACUUUAGGGCAAUGUUGGUUCUGAUAAACUUGUCCGCUUGUUAUUCUUGAGUAUUGAUGCUAUGUGAUGCCAGCACCACCAAAUUCUUUUUGCACAUGUACUGUACCAUUCAUCCAAAAUAUUCUUUUAUCAGCUGUAGUAUGGUAUACUUGGAAAGGAAGAUUUUAAUUCAACCUAGUUUGGCCUUUCUCAUCUCAUGUGUGUGUGUUUGUGUGUCCAUUAUACAGUGUAAUGGUCAUUACCUACCGGAUAGCUUAUGUCUAAUGUUGCAUUGACCAUUUUCAUCAUUUUGCAGCCUAGAAAAG
rnacentral:misc_RNA from 1 species